rnacentral:rRNA from 1 species
GUAGGGGGCGAGCGUUGUCCGGAUUCAUUGGGCGUAAAGCGCUUUAAGGCGGUUCGCUAAGUCGCGUGUGAAACCUCCAGGCUCAACCUGGAGACGCCACGCGAUACUGGCGUGACUAGAGUUCGGUAGGGGAUCACGGAAUUCCUGGUGUAGCGGUGAAAUACGCAGAUAUCAGGAGGAACACCGGUGGCGAAGGCGGUGAUCUGGGCCGACACUGACGCUGUAGAGCGAAAGCGUGGGGAGCGAACAGGAUUAGAUACCCUGGUAGUCCACGCCGUAAACGUUGGGCACUAGGUGUGGGGGAUUAUCAACGUCCUCCGUGCCGUAGCUAACGCAUUAAGUGCCCCGCCUGGGGAGUACGGCCGCAAGGCUA